GAUGAACGCUGGCGGCGUGCUUAAUACAUGUAAGUCGGACGGAGCGUUAGCAAUAGCGCUUAGUGGCGAACGGGUGAGUAACACGUUGGUGACCUGCCCCGAAGCGGGGGAUAACAGUUCGAAAGGAUUGCUAAUACCGCAUGUGGUUAUCAGUUUUAGAAUCUGAUAAUUAAAGCAGUAAUGCGCUUCGGGAGGGACCUGCGUCCCAUCAGCUAGUUGGUGAGGUAAUGGCCCACCAAGGCUACGACGGGUAGGGGACCUGAGAGGGUGGUCCCCCACACUGGCACUGAAACACGGGCCAGACACCUACGGGUGGCAG
rnacentral:rRNA from 1 species